UAUCAGCGAACAAGACGCGUACCUGGAGGACUGCGACCCUCCUGAACCCAAUUUAAUAAUUGCUGAGGAGAAUUCUAAUGAUGAAAACGAUGUAGAUGAUGAGACAAUGUCAGGUGAUGGUGACUUCUGUAGAAACCUAAACUUACCAUGUAAUUCCUUGGCCGAAUAUACAAAUAUGCCAUCAGAAAUUGCCGAGAAAGACUCUUCACCUCCCCCAACACCGUGCGAUCCUUAAACCCCAACUACCCUCCCUUUUCCUUAUACGAGCAAUCAAAACGAUAAUUAAAUAUUUAUUUCAAACCAAAUGUAACCUGUUCAGCCACAAAAAGAAACAAUAUUAUUAAAAACUAGAAAAAAAUUAGUAAUAAAAUCUAUCUGAAAUUGGUGUCUA